ACACUCCUACGGGAGGCAGCAGUGGGGAAUAUUGGACAAUGGGGGCAACCCUGAUCCAGCCAUGCCGCGUGAGUGAUGAAGGCCCUAGGGUUGUAAAGCUCUUUUGUGCGGGAAGAUAAUGACGGUACCGCAAGAAUAAGCCCCGGCUAACUUCGUGCCAGCAGCCGCGGUAAUACGAAGGGGGCUAGCGUUGCUCGGAAUCACUGGGCGUAAAGGGUGCGUAGGCGGGUCUUUAAGUCAGGGGUGAAAUCCUGGAGCUCAACUCCAGAACUGCCUUUGAUACUGAGGAUCUUGAGUCCGGAAGAGGUGAGUGGAACUGCGAGUGUAGAGGUGAAAUUCGUAGAUAUUCGCAAGAACACCAGUGGCGAAGGCGGCUCACUGGUCCGGUACUGACGCUGAGGCACGAAAGCGUGGGGAGCAAACAGGAUUAGAAACCCUAGUAGUCCCAUG
rnacentral:rRNA from 1 species